rnacentral:rRNA from 1 species
GAUGAACGCUAGCUACAGGCUUAACACAUGCAAGUCGAGGGGAAACGACAUCGAAAGCUUGCUUUUGGUGGGCGUCGACCGGCGCACGGGUGAGUAACGCGUAUCCAACCUGCCCACCACUUGGGGAUAACCUUGCGAAAGUAAGACUAAUACCCAAUGAUAUCCCACGAAGGCAUCCGAAUGGGAUUAAAGAUUUAUCGGUGAUGGAUGGGGAUGCGUCUGAUUAGCUUGUUGGCGGGGUAACGGCCCACCAAGGCAACGAUCAGUAGGGGUUCUGAGAGGAAGGUCCCCCACAUUGGAACUGAGACACGGUCCAAACUCCUACGGGAGGCAGCAGUGAGGAAUAUUGGUCAAUGGGCGAGAGCCUGAACCAGCCAAGUAGCGUGCAGGAUGACGGCCCUAUGGGUUGUAAACUGCUUUUAAUAAGGGAAUAAAGUGAGCCUCGUGAGG